AGCUAAUGAGCUUGAAUAAGCAUAUGUUUUGAAAACAUAAGAUAGAAUCUAUAUUAUUCUAUUGGCUU
rnacentral:tRNA from 1 species